CUUGAGGCGUGGCUUCCGGAGCUAACGCGUUAAGUCGACCGCCUGGGGAGUACGGCCGCAAGGUUAAAACUCAAAUGAAUUGACGGGGGCCCGCACAAGCGGUGGAGCAUGUGGUUUAAUUCGAUGCAACGCGAAGAACCUUACCUGGCCUUGACAUCCAGAGAACUUAGCAGAGAUGCUUUGGUGCCUUCGGGAACUCUGAGACAGGUGCUGCAUGGCUGUCGUCAGCUCGUGUUGUGAAAUGUUGGGUUAAGUCCCGCAACGAGCGCAACCCUUAUCCUUUGUUGCCAGCGGCUCGGCCGGGAACUCAAAGGAGACUGCCGGUGAUAAACCGGAGGAAGGUGGGGAUGACGUCAAGUCAUCAUGGCCCUUACGGCCAGGGCUACACACGUGCUACAAUGGCGCAUACAAAGAGAAGCGACCUCGCGAGAGCAAGCGGACCUCAUAAAGUGCGUCGUAGUCCGGAUUGGAGUCUGCAACUCGACUCCAUGAAGUCGGAAUCGCUAGUAAUCGUAGAUCAGAAUGCUACGGUGAAUACGUUCCCGGGCCUUGUACACACCGCCCGUCACACCAUGGGAGUGGGUUGCAAAAGAAGUAGGUAGCUUAACCUUCGGGAGG
rnacentral:rRNA from 1 species